CAACCUGCCCUUUACUCGGGGAUAGCCUUUCGAAAGAAAGAUUAAUACCCGAUAGCAUAAUGAUUCCGCAUGGUUUCAUUAUUAAAGGAUUCCGGUAAAGGAUGGGGAUGCGUUCCAUUAGGUUGUUGGUGAGGUAACGGCCCACCAAGCCUUCGAUGGAUAGGGGUUCUGAGAGGAAGGUCCCCCACAUUGGAACUGAGACACGGUCCAAACUCCUACGGGAGGCAGCAGUGAGGAAUAUUGGUCAAUGGGCGUUAGCCUGAACCAGCCAAGUAGCGUGAAGGAUGAAGGCUCUAUGGGUCGUAAACUUCUUUUAUAUAAGAAUAAAGUGCAGUAUGUAUACUGUUUUGUAUGUAUUAUAUGAAUAAGGAUCGGCUAACUCCGUGCCAGCAGCCGCGGUAAUACGGAGGAUCCGAGCGUUAUCCGGAUUUAUUGGGUUUAAAGGGAGCGUAGGUGGACUGGUAAGUCAGUUGUGAAAGUUUGCGGCUCAACCGUAAAAUUGCAGUUGAUACUGUCAGUCUUGAGUACAGUAGAGGUGGGCGGAAUUCGUGGUGUAGCGGUGAAAUGCUUAGAUAUCACGAAGAACUCCGAUUG
rnacentral:rRNA from 1 species